AGGAUCUCCGGGCUCACUGGCCAGCAAUCUAUUAGAAAGAGUGAGCUCCAGGGUCAGUAAGGGACCCUGUCUCAGAAACUAGUGGAGAGCAUGAUAGAAGACACCCUCCACCAACCUCUGGCCUUUUCCUGAGCCUGGAACACACGGACGCACGCAUGCGCAUAAACACACACUGAACUAGGGCUCAGGGACCUGUUGAAGGCACCAUUGGCUGGAAGAGCCCCGAACUGGGCAGACAAUAUCAGGCUUUGCAGAUCCCGUGGCUCCCCUGAGCCUGUUUCCUUAUCUGUCCGGGAAGGACGGUGUGUCUAAUACAUGGAAAUUAUUGCAGAAUUACCACUUGCAAUCCUGAAUCUUACCUAGAAGAAGGCAGAAACUUCCAGAGCGGUACCGCGUGGAAGCCUGGCAUCAGACUGCCCACUGUAGGAAACCUCCCAGCUCCAUCCAGUGCCUACAGGAGCUGGGACACAGUGGAGUUGCUUCAGCGCCACCUCCCUGAACUUGUUAACCGAGCAAAUCCUCCAGGCUCAGCUCCAGCCGCCAGAUCAGAA
rnacentral:lncRNA from 1 species